CCAUUUUGGCUAAGCUUUUUGCAAGGAUCCUUGAGGGUAUGGAUAGGGACUGUUCGGUCUACUUUGGAGAACCUUCCUGUAUAUAUAUAUAUAUAUAUAUAUAUAUAUAUAUAUAUAUAUAUAUAUAUAUAUAUAUAUAUAUACUC
rnacentral:sRNA from 1 species